UGGACAUUUUCCACAGAAUUGUCCCUAAGUUUCUGUGUUUGUUGCUCGUUCUUCAGGAUGUUGUAGAAACAGCGAGGAAACUCUGUGAACCACACAGUCUUUCUGGUGGAUCAAGUUCAGCAGAAGACGAUUCAAAAGCUGCAAAAACAUUUAGAUUGCCAGAGAAGUGAUGAAGACUUUCCUGAUAUUCCAGCAUCAGGUUUGAAAGAUCCAAACUGGAAAUCAUAAAGUAAAGAGGAAUGGGUCAACAGAUACCGACUGCAUCAGGUUUGGUCCUGAAGUGGUUCCUGCUUCUGUUUAGAUAUGAUUAAAAGAAGAAGCUCCUCAAGACUGAAGGCCUGAUGUGGACCAGCAGGACCCAGAGCCUCUUAUUAUAGAGUGGAAGAAAAGACCCUUAGACCAGUCUGGUGGGAGACCAACUCAAUAUGGAGGAGACCAAUAUCAGGUUUUUGGUCACUACAGUUUCUUUAAAGAGCGAGGACGAUAAAAGACAACUUACCAAGAACCCAGAUUUAAAGACUCACAAAGACAGUUCCAGCUCUUCAAAGACUGACGUUAAUGAGGACGAUGAAGAGGAGGCUGAAAUGACCGAUCCUGACUCUCUGCUAAAGAACUCAUCAGACUCUGAAUCAGAACGUGAAGACAGUAUGAAAGACUGGAAGGAGAGCAGGGCUCCUGAAUCAGAGGUAAAAACUGUCAACAAAUCUUUGAGCUGCUCUGAGUGUGGUAAGCAGUAUGUCAGUAACCGGACUCUUCAAAGACACAUGACAAGUCAUCCAGGAGUGAAGUCUUCAAGUUGUCUGCUUAAUAAGAAAUGUGUUGGAGAGAAGAAAAAUACAGAGUCACGUAGGAAAGUCCAGGCAAGACCAAAAUCAAUAAGUUGUGAUGACUGUGGUAAAAGAUUUACUUUCAAAUCACAAAUAAACAGACACAUGAGAGUCCACACAGGAGACAAGCCAUUUCCUUGUGAACUUUGUGGACA